rnacentral:rRNA from 1 species
AUUGAACGCUGGCGGCAGGCCUAACACAUGCAAGUCGAGCGGUAACAGAUCUAGCUUGCUAGAUGCUGACGAGCGGCGGACGGGUGAGUAAUGCAUAGGAAUCUGCCCGAUAGUGGGGGAUAACCUGGGGAAACCCAGGCUAAUACCGCAUACGUCCUACGGGAGAAAGGGGGCUCCGGCUCCCGCUAUUGGAUGAGCCUAUGUCGGAUUAGCUAGUUGGUGAGGUAAUGGCUCACCAAGGCAACGAUCCGUAGCUGGUCUGAGAGGAUGAUCAGCCACAUCGGGACUGAGACACGGCCCGAACUCCUACGGGAGGCAGCAGUGGGGAAUAUUGGACAAUGGGGGGAACCCUGAUCCAGCCAUGCCGCGUGUGUGAAGAAGGCCUUCGGGUUGUAAAGCACUUUCAGCGAGGAAGAACGCCUAGAGGUUAAUACCCCCUAGGAAAGACAUCACUCGCAGAAGAAGCACCGGCUAACUCCGUGCCAGCAGCCGCGGUAAUACGGAGGGUGCAAGCGUUAAUCGGAAUUACUGGGCGUAAAGCGCGCGUAGGUGGCUUGAUAAGCCGGUUGUGAAAGCCCCGGGCUCAACCUGGGAACGGCAUCCGGAACUGUCAAGCUAGAGUGCAGGAGAGGAAGGUAGAAUUCCCGGUGUAGCGGUGAAAUGCGUAGAGAUCGGGAGGAAUACCAGUGGCGAAGGCGGCCUUCUGGACUGACACUGACACUGAGGUGCGAAAGCGUGGGUAGCAAACAGG